rnacentral:rRNA from 1 species
GACGAACGCUGGCGGCGUGCUUAACACAUGCAAGUCGAACGGAAAGGCCUGCUUUCCCUUGUGGAUUGCGGGUACUCGAGUGGCGAACGGGUGAGUAACACGUGAGUGAUCUGCCCCCAACUUGGGUAUAAGCCUGGGAAACUGGGUCUAAUUCCCGAUAGGACUGCAGGGUGGUGCCUGUGGUGGAAAACGAUUUUCUAGUGGUUGGGGAUGAGCCCGCGGCCUAUCAGCUUGUUGGUGGGGUAAUGGCCUACCAAGGCGGCGACGGGUAGCCGGCCUGGGAGGGUGGACGGCCACAUUGGGACUGAGAUACGGCCCAGACUCCUACGGGAGGCAGCAGUGGGGAAUAUUGCACAAUGGGCGGAAGCCUGAUGCAGCGACGCCGCGUGGGGGAUGACGGCCUUCGGGUUGUAAACUCCUUUCGACCGCGAGGAAGCCACCUGGUUGGAAGGGUGGUGACGGUAGUGGUAGAAGAAGCACCGGCUAACUACGUG